GGGCCCCUCUCUAGGUUAUUUUGGCCACUACAACAAAUCCUUAUUGGUUUUGUACAAACAAUAAAAGUGUGAACACAAAUCAGCUGUAAUGAACUUAUCAUAUUAGUGGCAUAAAAUCCAAUAUGUAAUAGUUGAUGCAUUAUGUAAUGGACAAUAUCUAAUACCCUGUAACAACCCACCAUCUCCGCUCCCCACUAUCCCCAUCAUUUCUCACCACGUCCAACAAAAAAUUCACCCUAUUUACCUUUUCUUUAU
rnacentral:misc_RNA from 1 species